rnacentral:rRNA from 1 species
AUGGGCAGGAAAUGGCACGCCGUCGCGGCACUGGGCAUGGCGUACGCUGUCGCCGCCGCCGUCGCCGAUGGCGACAAGGGCCUCUCCUUCGCCGGCACCAUUGCAGGGCCGGAGGAAGCGAGCUCCCCGCGCAAGCUGGCCAGCUUGUACGGAACCACUUAUCACCACGUCUGGCCGCCCAUGAAAUUUGGAUGGCGAAUUGUGUUAGGGUCAUUCAUUGGAUUCUUCGGGGCAGCAUUUGGCAGCGUUGGUGGAGUAGGCGGAGGCGGGAUCUUCGUUCCAAUGCUAACGUUGAUCAUUGGCUUUGAUCUGAAGUCAUCAGCAGCGAUGUCAAAAUGUAUGAUCACGGGAGCUACUGUUUCAACCGUGUAUUGCAAUCUCAAGCUGAAACACCCAACUUUGGACAUGCCAAUGAUAGACUAUGAUCUAGCCCUCCUCAUACAGUCCAUGCUCAUGAUGGGGGUUAGCAUUGGAGUUAUUUGCAAUGUGAUAUUCCCCGACUGGCUUGUCACGGUCCUCUUGAUCAUCCUCUUUCUAGUUACUUCGGUUAAAGCUUUUCUGAAGGGUGUUGAAGCAUGGAAGAAAGAGACGGUGAUAAGAAGGGAGGCAAAGGCAAAACAACUAGAGCAAUCUAAUGAAGAUACUAGAUAUACGCCACCGCCUACAGGACCCGAUCCUGCAUCUGACACAAAAAAAAACCCACAGAUGAAGCGGUAUCCAUUUGGAAGAACAUUUACUGGAAGGAGUUUGGCCUUCUGGCGUCCGUUUGGGUAG